AUCGAUGAAGAACGCAGCGAAAUGCGAUAAGUAAUGUGAAUUGCAGAAUUCAGUGAAUCAUCGAAUCUUUGAACGCACAUUGCGCCCUCUGGUAUUCCGGAGGGCAUGCCUGUUCGAGCGUCAUUUGCUAAACUCAAGCCUACUUGUAGGCAUGGUCUUGGGUGCUGUCCUCUCUGGAUGACACACCUCAAAUGCAAUGGCGACACUGCCUGGCUUCAAGCGUCUAGGAAACUUCAUCGCUUCUGUCAGAUGAGUGUCUGCCUCUCAACCCCAAUUUUUAUUCUGGGUUGACCUCGGAUCAGGUAGGGAUACCCGCUGAACUUAAGCAUAUCAAUAAGCGGAGGAAAAGAAACCAACAGGGAUUGCCUCAGUAACGGCGAGUGAAGCGGCAACAGCUCAAAUUUGAAAUCUGGGUCUUUCAGGCUCCGAGUUGUAAUUUGUAGAGGGAUCUUCGGGUGUGGUCCGGCCUAAGUUUCAUGGAACUGAACAUCAUAGAGGGUGAGAAUCCCGUAUGCGGCCGGGUGCCUAUAUCCAUGUGAAGUCUCUUCGACGAGUCGAGUUGUUUGGGAAUGCAGCUCAAAAUGGGUGGUAAAUUUCAUCUAAAGCUAAAUACCGGCGAGAGACCGAUAGCGCACAAGUAGAGUGAUCGAAAGAUGAAAAGCACUUUGGAAAGAGAGUUAAAAAGUACGUGAAAUUGUUGAAAGGGAAGCGCUUGCAAUCAGACUUGCCUUCAGCUUAUCAUCCGGUGUUCUCACCGGUGCACUAGGUUGUUGUCAGGCCAGCAUCGGUUUUGGCGGCUGGAUAAAGGCCUUGGGAAUGUGGCCCCUCUCGGGGGGUGUUAUAGCCCAGGGUGUAAUGCAGCCAGCUGGGACCGAGGACCGCGCUUCGGCUAGGAUGCUGGCGUAAUGGUUGUAAGCGACCCGUCUUGAAACACGG
rnacentral:rRNA from 1 species